UACGUAGGGUGCAAGCGUUGUCCGGAAUUAUUGGGCGUAAAGAGCUCGUAGGCGGUUGUCGCGUCUGCUGUGAAAACCUAGGGCUUAACCCUGGGCCUGCAGUGGGUACGGGCAGACUAGAGUGCGGUAGGGGAGACUGGAAUCCUGGUGUAGCGGUGAAUGCGCAGAGUAUCAGGAGGAACACCGGUGGCGAAGGCGGGUCUCGUGGGCCGUAACUGACGCUGAGGCACGAAAGCGUGGGU
rnacentral:rRNA from 1 species